rnacentral:tRNA from 1 species
UAGCUUAAUGGUAGAGCACUCAACCGGCAAUUGGGGGGAUCUGGGUUCAAGUCCCGG